UUGGAGGGCAAGUCUGGUGCCAGCAGCCGCGGUAAUUCCAGCUCCAAUAGCGUAUAUUAAAGUUGUUGCAGUUAAAAAGCUCGUAGUUGAAUUUCGGGAUCGACGGGUCGGUCGCGCCUCUGGUGUGUACUGGCCCUGUCGGUUUCUCCCUUCUGACGAACCACGAUGUCAUUAAUUUGGUGUCGUGGGAAAUCAGGACUGUUACUUUGAAAAAAUUAGAGUGUUUAAAGCAGGCAUUCGCUUGAAUACAUUAGCAUGGAAUAAUGAAAUAGGACGUUUGAUCUUAUUUUGUUGGUUUCUAAGAUCGACGUAAUGAUUAAUAGGGAUAGUUGGGGGCAUUAGUAUUCAAUUGUCAGAGGUGAAAUUCUUGGAUUUAUUGAAGACUAACUACUGCGAAAGCAUUUGCCAAGGAUGUUUUCAUUAAUCAAGAACGAAAGUUAGGGGAUCGAAGACGAUCAGAUACCGUCGUAGUCUUAACCAUAAACUAUGCCGACUAGGGAUCGGAUGAUGUUAAUUUUUAAUGAACUCAUUCGGCGCCUUACGGGAAACCANGUGUUUGGGU
rnacentral:rRNA from 1 species